rnacentral:rRNA from 1 species
GACGAACGCUGGCGGCGUGCUUAACACAUGCAAGUCGAACGAAGUGGCGAACGGGUGAGUAACGCGUAAUCAACCUGCCCUUCAGAGGGGGACAACAGUUGGAAACGACUGCUAAUACCGCAUACUGAAGGAGGGGAUUGCGUCUGAAUAGCUAGUUGGUGGGGUAACGGGCCACCAAGGCGAAGAUAAGUAGCCGGGCUGGGGGAGGGAACGGGCAACGUGGGACUUAGACACGGCCCAGACUCCUAGGGGAGGGAGCAGUGGGGAAACUUCCGCAAUGGAGGAAAGUCUGACGGAGCAGCGCCGCGUGAGUGAUGACGGCCUUCGGGUUGUAAAGUUCUGUUAAGCGGGAAGCGGUACCGGAAUAGAAAGCCACGGCUAACUACGUGCCAGCAGCCGCGGUAAUAC